rnacentral:siRNA from 1 species
UAUUUGUGCCGCCAAGUUGAU